CCUACGGGAGGCUGCAGUGGGGAAUAUUGGACAAUGGGCGAAAGCCUGAUCCAGCCAUGCCGCGUGUGUGAAGAAGGCCUUCGGGUUGUAAAGCACUUUCAGUGGGGAAGAAAGCCUUGGGGCUAAUACCCUCGAGGAAGGACAUCACCCACAGAAGAAGCACCGGCUAACUCCGUGCCAGCAGCCGCGGUAAUACGGAGGGUGCGAGCGUUAAUCGGAAUUACCGGGCGUAAAGCGCGCGUAGGCGGUCUGAUAAGCCGGUUGUGAAGGCCCCGGGCUCAACCUGGGAACGGCAUCCGGAACUGUCAGGCUAGAGUGCAGGAGAGGAAGGUAGAAUUCCCGGUGUAGCGGUGAAAUGCGUAGAGAUCGGGAGGAAUACCAGUGGCGAAGGCGGCCUUCUGGACUGACACUGACGCUGAGGUGCGAAAGCGUGGGUAGCAAACAGGAUUAGAUACCCUUGUAGUC
rnacentral:rRNA from 1 species